rnacentral:rRNA from 1 species
AACAGCUAGAGUUUGAUCCUGGCUCAGACGAACGCUGGCGGCGUGCCUAACACAUGCAAGUCGAACGGAACUCUCUGGAACAAGGCUUCGGCCAAGGGAAUCAGAGUUUAGUGGCGGACGGGUGAGUAACGCGUGAGCAACCUGCCCUUCGGAGGGGGACAACAGUUGGAAACGACUGCUAAUACCGCAUGACAUACAGAGAUCGCAUGGUUUUUGUAUCAAAGAUUUAUCGCCGAGGGAUGGGCUCGCGUCUGAUUAGCUAGUUGGUGGGGUAACGGCCUACCAAGGCGACGAUCAGUAGCCGGACUGAGAGGUUGAACGGCCACAUUGGGACUGAGAUACGGCCCAGACUCCUACGGGAGGCAGCAGUGGGGAAUAUUGGGCAAUGGGGGCAACCCUGACCCAGCAACGCCGCGUGAAGGAAGAAGGCUUUCGGGUUGUAAACUUCUUUUAUCAGGGACGAUAAUGACGGUACCUGAUGAAUAAGCCACGGCUAACUACGUGCC